UCGAGUUUUGAAGGGGUUGUAGCUGGCCUUGCGAGGCAUGUGCACGCCCCGCUCAAUCCACUCUACACCUGUGCACUUACUGUAGGCUUCGGAGGCGAAGCGGGCUUCAUCGCUCGCGGACCCGACGGGCUUACGUUUUAUUACAAACCCUUCAGUAUCAGAACGUGUAUCGCGGAUUAACGCAUUAAAUACAACUUUCAGCAACGGAUCUCUUGGCUCUCGCAUCGAUGAAGAACGCAGCGAAAUGCGAUAAGUAAUGUGAAUUGCAGAAUUCAGUGAAUCAUCGAAUCUUUGAACGCACCUUGCGCUCCUCGGUAUUCCGAGGAGCAUGCCUGUUUGAGUGUCAUGAAAUUCUCAACCUUACGAGCCUUUGCGGGUUCAGUAGGGUUGGACUUUGGAGGCUUGUCGGCCUUGUCGGUCGGCUCCUCUCAAACGCAUUAGCUUGGUUCCUUGCGGAUCGGCUCUCGGUGUGAUAAUUGUCUACGCCGCGACCGUGAAGCGUUUGGCGAGCUUCUAACGGUCUCUUCGGAGACGAACC
rnacentral:rRNA from 1 species